GUGCCAGCCGCCGCGGUAAUACGUAGGGGGCAAGCGUUGUCCGGAUUUAUUGGGCGUAAAGCGCUCGCAGGCGGCCCGAUGCGUCGUGCGUGAAAGGCCCCGGCUCAACCGGGGGCGGUCGUGCGAUACGGUCGGGCUGGAGGCCAGUAGGGGGACGCGGAAUUCCGGGUGUAGUGGUGGAAUGCGUAGAGAUCCGGAGGAACACCAGCGGCGAAGGCGGCGUCCUGGACUGGGCCUGACGCUCAGGAGCGAAAGCGUGGGGAGCGAUCCGGAUUAGAUACCCGAGUAGUCC
rnacentral:rRNA from 1 species